UACGAAGGGUGCAAACGUUGCUCGGAAUCAUUGGGCGUAAAGCGCACGUAGGCGGCCCCAUAAGUCGGAUGUGAAAUCCCUCGGCUCAACCGAGGACGUGCAUUCGAAACUGCGAGGCUCGAGUAUGGAAGAGGGUCGCGGAAUUCCCGGUGUAGAGGUGAAAUUCGUAGAUAUCGGGAGGAACACCAGUGGCGAAGGCGGCGACCUGGGCCAAUACUGACGCUGAGGUGCGAAAGCGUGGGGAGCAAACAGG
rnacentral:rRNA from 1 species